CGGUGCAACUGGAGCUCAAACUGCCCCAAGAUCUCUACAUAGGCUUAGGGAGAAGAGAGAGAGAAGGAGAUGGGUAAAAGCAAUGUGAAAGAGAGACGGACAGACAGAUAGGCAGACAUAGAAAUAGGGUGAUGAGAGACAGAGAAAAGGGGGGGGAUAGAAAAGGAGGAUCUGAGGAAAACAUCUAGAACAGGGGAGUUGGAAACAGCAAGGGUGUAAGAAAGAGGGAGGGGGACAAAAUGAAAAGGCAGAGAAGGGAAAGGGGUUUAUUGGAUGGAAAAGAAGAUUGAAUUAUGGGGAGCAUCUUUCCUCUCAGAUGACUCUGCUCCAGAAAGCACCUCCUCCCCUUGGCACAGGGCAGAAUACACAAGUAAAGUUAACAUGGCUAACCUGAGGUCCUGGAACACAGCUUCAGCCUGGUUAAAGGCCAUGCAUACUGUAGUCUGAGCCCCAAUUGGUCACGUAGGAAACUUGUUGCAGAGCCAUGAAUAGAGGCCAGCUCUCCAAGCCUUAACCACCAGGUCAUCCUCCUUCCUGCCAUUUGGGACUCCUUUGAGUUCAUCUGCUUAACAAAAAUAUGAACUGACACUGACCAUAUAAAGAUUGCUGCUCAUGUUGAGGACGUGAAGUCUUGUGUGACACUGUCCAAUGACCUGCUCUGGCUGAGGUUUGGAGCAGAGCUGGUCAGGUCUUGAGAAAGCUAUCUCCACUUCUUAUUCAUCAAAGCAAAGGUGAUUGUGACCCACAGUCUUUAAAUGUGCAGGAGACAGCAAAGGAAUAAAGAGUAAGCAAUAUCUUGGGGAAACUCCCUAUUUUCUGAUGAAAAAAGGUGAUGAGCUACCUCUCUGGCUACCAUGGACAGAGCACAAUCCUGGGAGACGGUGUGUGGGAGGAUUCCAGAGAGCAAUUCGGAGGAUACAGCUUCUUAAUGCACCCAGAAACCAUCUCCCAGCUAGUCCUGGUCCCUCUUGCAACCUCCAGAUAUGGAAAACUUCAGAAUGGCUGCAUCUGAAGGCCAGUUGGAACCAAAGGACUUACUACUUGUAAUCUUUCAGAGUGGACAGGACAGUGUACUGCAUGGGAGUUGUCUGAAAGUGUUGAAUUGCUGGCAUUUCCUGACAGACUUUUGGAACAAGGGUUACAUGUCAGCUGUUUGUGCAAACCGUGAACACCUCAUUGGAUGGAAGGAGUACCAAAAUACAUUAUUAUUAGGGGAUUAUGAUGGGAAAUUAGUUUGUAGUAGAGCAGGAGAGUAAACAGCUACUUUUUGGUAGGUACCGAACCUGGAGCCUUGUCCUCAGCAGAGCAAUGUCUUGCCUCUUUAAUUCCCCUCGCCACGUGGUGCAGGGAGUAGUUAAGAUCAAGAAAACAGGUGUUUUGAUGCCCUUCCCUGGACAUUUAAAAUUAGACUGGACAAAGAACUAGAAAGUAUGGUAUGGGGAAUGACCCUGGGGUGGUCUUAGGGAGAUGGAGGGGAUGAACUACAAGUCUUCUUUAUCUCUAGUUUCCUCUCUCUCUAGAGGAUGAGGAGGAGGAUGUGCACACAAGUAUGCCAUCCUUUCAUUCUUUAACCUGCCUGGAUAAACAGAGGUAGGAGCACACAUUUAAACCAUCUACAGUGUUGAGAUUCAUAUUAAGAUCUUGAAUGCAGAAGAACCCAUUGCAGCUCUGAGAUAAAUUCUAAGACUGGAGUUCUGAUUUUUGCCUUCUUUCCCUGAUCAUUUCCAUCCUCUCUGCUCCCCCCCAAACCUCCGAAGAGCUGACAACCAUUCCUGUCAUGUCUCUGUCUGCAAGGUGGUCAUUUCACACUAGGCCACUCUGCUUUUAUCUCUCUAUUUCCAUCAGUGAGGAAUCAGAACUGGGUCUGUUAGACUGACAUCUGAUAAAAGCCAAGCUUUGUGGCUGAUGGGGGAGGGCUCUUUGCUGUCAGUGGUGUCAUCUGAUUCCCCUCUACCACCCGUUCUCUCCCAUGCUGUUACCUUACUGUGCCCUGGGAGCUACUUAUGCAACCCGGGACAAAGAAGGAUCUUAUUUGUUUGCUGCCAGCACUGAAAUGGCUCUGACAAGUCUAGGCACUGCAGCAGUGUAUGUUCAAGGUGCAGUGCAGUGCAGCUCACUUGAAGAGAGACUGUAAUGUCAGACUCUGAAAUCACUGAAACUCAGAGUAAGGCUCUCCAUCUCUUGCAGGUCUGAGGAGAUUCUGUGAAAGAGAGAUAUAUGAUAAGAAAAUAAUUUGGGGAAUGCAAGCAAUGCCCCACCCCACACUGCUAAGAGUGAGUGCGUGCUGGAUCUGCAGAAAGGAAUAAACCUGCCUUGUGAACUGGUCUCAUUGUUACUGUGUAAUGCUGCUGGAGCAUGCCUGCAAAAUCAUCAUGAAUGUUUACUAGCCUAGGCACAAAGUCUACUUGCCUGCUUUUACCAUGUUGUUGCUGAAAAUCUAAUGAUAAGUUAAUUGCCCAUCAGAUAAAAUCAGUUGUGCCUCAAACGAAUGUGGUAAGUAGAGUUUUUCCAGGCUGUAGAAUUAGAAACCAUUUCAUCAUGGGUGGUCAGCAUGCGUGCUGCUGUUCUAUGGAUACCAGAAUUGUUUUAUGCCCCAUUCCCAGAAGAGUCCAGGAAACUAAUCUGAAGAACUGAAAAGUACUUGAAGUAUUGAUUUAUUCUCCCCUCUGAUAGUGGAAAAGAGCAGGAGAUUAUGCUCUACUUGUUUGUAAAGACUUGUGAAAAUAAAUUGUUUGAACAAACUGA